rnacentral:tRNA from 1 species
GACAACGUGGCCGAGUGGUUAAGGCGUCAGACUUGAAUCUGUUUUGGUUAUCUGAUUCCUUCGGGAGCGUAGGUUCAAACCCUGCCGUUGUCG